rnacentral:rRNA from 1 species
UACGGGGGGGGCAAGCGUUGUCCGGAUUGACUGGGCGUAAAGCGCACGCAGGCGGAUGCGCGCGUGGGGUGUGAAAUCUGGCCGCUUAACGGCCAGGCGCCAUCCCAUACGGCGCGUCUGGAGUGAUGCAGAGGUCGAUGGAAUUGCCGGUGUAGUGGUGAAAUGCGUAGAGAUCGGCAGGAACACCCAGGGGGAAACCAGUGACUGGGCAUCUACUGACGCUGAGGUGCGAGAGCGUGGGGAGC